AUGUGCGUUAUCGUGCUAGAUUAGUGG
rnacentral:piRNA from 1 species